rnacentral:rRNA from 1 species
GCCCGCAUUUACAAGAAAGUGAGUGGGAGCUCUGUAGCAUUUCUCAUAUUAUAUGUAGAUGACAUACUUUUGAUGGGAAAUUAUAUAGAACUUUUGGACAGCAUUAAGGCCUACUUGAAUAAGUGUUUUUCAAUGAAGGACCUUGGAGAAGCUGCUUACAUACUAGGCAUCAAGAUCUACAGGGAUAGAUCGAGACGCCUCAUAGGUCUUUCAAAAAGCACAUACCUUGAUAAGAUAUUGAAGAAGUUCAAUAUGGAUCAGUCCAAGAAAGGGUUCUUGCCUGUAUUGCAAGGUGUGAGAUUGAGCUCGGCUCAAUGCCCGACCACGAUAGAAGAUAAAGAAGAGAUGAGUGUCAUCCCCUAUGCCUCAGCCAUAGGAUCUAUUAUGUAUGCCAUGCUGUGCACCAGACCUGAUGUAAACCUUGCCGUAAGUUUGGUAGGAAGGUACCGAAGUAAUCCCGGCAAGGAACACUGGACAAUGGUCAAGAAUAUCCUGAAGUACCUGAAAAGGACAAAGGACAUGUUUCUCGUCUAUGGAGGUGACGAAGAGCUCGUC